rnacentral:rRNA from 1 species
AGUUCGAUCCUGGCUCAGAUUGAACGCUGGCGGGAUGCUACACAUGCAAGUCGAACGGCAGCACGGACUUCGGUCUGGUGGCGAGUGGCGAACGGGUGAGUAAUGUAUCGGAACGUGCCUAAUGUGAGGGAUAACUACGCGAAAGCGUAGCUAAUACCGCGCGCGCCGCCGCCAGGAAAGCGGGGACCUUCCCGGGCCUCGCACUAUUAAAACGGCCGAUAUCGGAUUAGCUGAUUGUGGGUGGGGUAACAACCACCAAGGGCGACGAUCCGUAGCUGGUUUGAGAGGACGACCAGCCACACUGGGACUGAGACACGGCCCAGACUCCUGCAGGAGGCAGCAGUGGAAAUUUUGGACAAUGGGAAACCUGAUCCAGCCAUCCCGCGUGUGCGAUGAAGGCCUUCGGGUUGUAAAGCACUUUUGGCAGGAAAGAAACGGCACCGGGAUAAUACCCCGUGCAACUGACCGACACCUGCAGAAUAAGCACCGGCUAACUACACGCCGGCAGCCGCGGUAAUACGUAAGUGCAAGCGUUAAUCGGAAUUACUGGGCGUAAAGCGUGCGCAGGCGGUUCGGAAGAAAAGAUGUGAAAUCUGACUUAACUUUGGGAACUGCAUUUUUAACUACCGAGCUAGAGUGUGUCGAGAGGUGGAAUUCCGCGUGUAGCAGUAAAUGGCAGAUAUGCGGAGAAGACACCGAUGGCGAAGGCGGCCUCCUGGGAUAACACUGACGCUCAUGCAGCAGUGGGAGCAAACAGGAUUAGAUACCCUGGUAGUCCCGCCCUGACGAUAUCAUGGCUAUUUGGGGCCUUCGGGCCUUGGUAGCGCAGCUAACGCGUGAAAUUGAAGCCUUGCAGAGUACCACGGAAGUCGCAAGGUCAAACUCAAAGGAAUUGACGGGGACCGCACAAGAAGCGGUGGAUGAUGUGGAUUAAUUCGAUGCAACGCGAAAACCUUACCUACCUUGACUGUCUAAGAUCCCGAAAGAGAGAUUUGGGGUGCUCGCAAAGGCUGAACGGGACGCUGCAUGGCUACAGCUCGUCAGCUCGUGUCGUGAGAUGUUGGGUUAAGUCCCGCAACGAGCGCAACCCUUGUCAUUAGUUGCUGCGAAAGAGGGCACUCUAAUAAAGAGACUGCGAUGAUAAACCGGAGGAAGGUGAGGAUGACGUCGUACUCGCGGCCAUAUGGGUAGGGCUUCACACGUAUGCAAUGGUCGGGACAGAGGGUCGCCAACCCGCGAGGAGCCAAUCCAGAAACUGGUCAUGGUCGGAUCGCAGUCUGCAGCUCGACUGCGUGAAGUCGGAAUCGCUAGUAAUCGCGGAUCAGCAUGUCGCGGUGAAUACGUUCCCGGGUCUUGUACACACCGCCCGUCACACCAUGGGAGUGGGUUUUGCCAGAAGUAGUUAGCCUAACAGCGGAGGGCGAUUACCACGGUAGGAUUCAUGACUGGGGGUGAAGUCGCUAGAGUAG